UACGUAGGGUGCGAGCGUUGUCCGGAAUUAUUGGGCGUAAAGAGCUCGUAGGCGGUGUGUCGCGUCGGUCGUGAAAACUUGGGGCUUAACUCUGAGCUUGCGGUCGAUACGGGCAUCACUGGAGUUCGGCAGGGGAGACUGGAAUUCCUGGUGUAGCGGUGAAAUGCGCAGAUAUCUGGAGGAACACCGGUGGCGAAGGCGGCAUCCUGGACCAACACUGACGCUGAGGAGCGAAAGCCAGGGGAGCAAACGGG
rnacentral:rRNA from 1 species